UACGUAGGGUCCGAGCGUUGUCCGGAAUUACUGGGCGUAAAGAGCUCGUAGGUGGUUUGUCGCGUUGUUCGUGAAAACUCACAGCUCAACUGUGGGCGUGCGGGCGAUACGGGCAGACUUGAGUACUGCAGGGGAGACUGGAAUUCCUGGUGUAGCGGUGGAAUGCGCAGAUAUCAGGAGGAACACCGGUGGCGAAGGCGGGUCUCUGGGCAGAAACUGACGCUGAGGAGCGAAAGCGUGGGGAGCGAACAGG
rnacentral:rRNA from 1 species